rnacentral:rRNA from 1 species
AUGUCGAGCUCGUCUUCAGCUGGUUCAGACGACGGAGGUAGCACCGAAACAAUUCAGCGCGAGGUGCGUCCAGUUAGUACAGAUGGACAGCUUGCGCGACAGGGUGUUGCUCCACCUCAGAACGAUUGUAAAGCGCGUCCCGGAGACCUCGGAGGUGAGACUGAAGAAGGCGUGGCAGCCGAAAAUGCAGAAGUUUACGAUUUAACUGAAGGAUGGGGCGAGAACGACCCUGCUGAAUGUGAAGAGUUGCUGCAGGAGAUAGAACCUGAACCUGCUGGGCAUCGACUGUUCCACGCUGUAGCAUACAGGUGCGCGUGGGCUUCAUGGGACGACGAAGAUGAGGUCGACACCGUUGCAUGUAAAAGGCCGAAACUGUAUUAA